rnacentral:tRNA from 1 species
UCGAAAUCGGUAGACGCUACGGACUUAAUUGGAUUGAAAUCCGUCGACUUUAAAAAUCGUGAGGGUUCAAGUCCCUCUAUCCCCA